GAGCACGUAGGUGGGUUUGUAAGUCAGACGUGAAAGCCUUCUGUUCAACGGAAGAAUUGCAUCUGAAACUACAAACCUUGAGUGUAGGAGGGGAGAAUGGAACUUCUGGUGGAGCGGUGAAAUGCGUAGAUAUCAGAAGGAACGCCGGCGGCGAAAGCGAUUCUCUGGCCUAUUACUGACACUCAGUGUGCGAAAGCUAGGGGAGCAAACGGGAUUAGAUACCCCGGUAGUCCUAGCCGUAAACGAUGGGCACUAAGUAGAGGGGUUUU
rnacentral:rRNA from 4 species